UACGAAGGGGGCUAGCGUUGUUCGGAAUUACUGGGCGUAAAGCGCGCGCAGGCGGUCUUCCAAGUCAGUGGUGAAAGCCCGGAGCUCAACUCCGGAACUGCCAUUGAAACUGUUAGACUUGAGGACGAGAGAGGUGAGUGGAAUUCCCGGUGUAGAGGUGAAAUUCGUAGAUAUCGGGAGGAAUACCAGUGGCGAAGGCGGCGACCUGGGCCAAUACUGACGCUGAGGUGCGAAAGCGUGGGGAGCAAACAGG
rnacentral:rRNA from 1 species